rnacentral:rRNA from 1 species
UCCACGCUGUAAACGAUGAUCACUCGUUGUUUGCGAUAUAUUGUAAGCGACUGAGCGAAAGCAUUAAGUGAUCCACCUGGGGAGUACGUUGGCAACAAUGAAACUCAAAGGAAUUGACGGGGGCCCGCACAAGCGGAGGAACAUGUGGUUUAAUUCGAUGAUACGCGAGGAACCUUACCUGGGUUUAAAUGUAAGUUGCAUGAUUGGGAAACUGAUCUUUCCUUCGGGACUACUUACAAGGUGCUGCAUGGUUGUCGUCAGCUCGUGCCGUGAGGUGUCGGGUUAAGUCCCAUAACGAGCGCAACCCCUAUCGUUAGUUGCC